rnacentral:pre_miRNA from 1 species
AUACAAAUCACUCAGGGCUCUUGUUAAUGUGCAGAUUCUGAUUCAGUAGGUCUAGGAUGCCUGAGUAUCUGCAUUUCUAACAAGCUCCCAGGUGAAGCCUAU